CCUACGGGAGGCAGCAGUGAGGAAUAUUGGUCAAUGGACGAAAGUCUGAACCAGCCAUGCCGCGUGCAGGAAGACGGCUCUAUGAGUUGUAAACUGCUUUUGUACAAGGGUAAACCGGAAUAAGUGUAUUCAGCUGAAAGUACUGUACGAAUAAGGAUCGGCUAACGCCGUGCCAGCAGCCGCGGUAAUACGGAGGAUCCAAGCGUUAUCCGGAUUUAUUGGGUUUAAAGGGUGCGUAGGCGGAUUGAUAAGUUAGAGGUGAAAUGUCCGGGCUCAACUCGGGAACUGCCUCUAAUACUGUUGUUCUAGAGCGUAGUUGCGGUAGGCGGAAUGUCUUGUGUAGCGG
rnacentral:rRNA from 1 species